GACGAACGCUGGCGGCGUGCCUAAUACAUGCAAGUCGAGCGGACCCUUCGGGGUUAGCGGCGGACGGGUGAGUAACACGUGGGUAAUCUGCCCAACUGACUGGAAUAACGCCUGGAAACGGGUGCUAAUGCCGGAUAGGCAACUGGUAGGCAUCUACCGGUUGGGAAAGGUGCAACUGCACCGCAGAUGGAGGAGCCCGCGGCGCAUUAGCUAGUUGGUGGGUAACGGCUCACCAAGGCAACGAUGCGUAGCCGACCUGAGAGGGUGACCGGCCACACUGGGACUGAGACACGGCCCAGACUCCUACGGGAGGCAGCAGUAGGGAAUCUUCCACAAUGGGCGCAAGCCUGAUGGAGCAACGCCGCGUGAGUGAAGACGGCCUUCGGGUUGUAAAGCUCAGUCACUCGGGAAGAGCGGACGAGGGAGUGGAAAGCCCUCGUCGAGACGGUACCGAGAGAGGAAGCCCCGGCUAACUACGUG
rnacentral:rRNA from 1 species